CUCCUUUGCUGCAACUUGUAAUUGGUAUUGACAAACUUCAAAUGAAAGUGUCUUUGCUCCUUUGCUGCUUCUACUUCUUUUUCUCCUUCUUGUACACCGGCUUCCAAAAAUGAUUGUCGAACUGUAACAUAUCAACCUCUGUAAUUUUUAUAUUGUUGGCAUAGCAAAUAAUAAAAUUCAAUCACCAUUAAUUGGUUAAUAAAACAAGAAAGUACAAUACGAACGAAUCUUUCUUUAUUGUACUUCCAUCCGCUAAACUUGGUAGAAAUGAUGGCUUGCAAGAGCAAUUUAUAGCAGUAAUUAUCACAAAUAACAUCUAGAAGACCGUAACAACAAAAUAUAAUUGAACAAAAAUGAUUUUUCCUAAAAUGCACUGGAAAACAAUUCAUAUCUAGUUUUAAAGGUAGAACUGUGCAUGUUCAAACUUCAUAUUCAUCUAUGUCUGAAGUUGUAACUUCACCCCAAUUUUUCAACUCUAAUGUGUGAACACACACACAUGUAUGUAUAUGAAUAUAUAUAUAUAUAUGUGUGUGUGUGUGUGUGUGUGUGUGGUGUUGUUGAUUGUAUGUACUAUGUAGGUAUAUAUAUAUGUGUGUGUGUGGUGUUGUUGGGUGUAUGUACUAUGUAGGUAUAUAUAUGUAUGGGUGUGUGUGGUGUUGUUGGUUGUAUGUACUAUGUAGGUAUAUAUAUGUGUGUGUGUGUGGUGUUGUUGGGUGUAUGUACUAUGUAGGUAUAUAUAUGUAUGGGUGUGUGUGGUGUUGUUGGUUGUAUGUACUAUGUAGGUAUAUAUAUGUAUGGGUGUGUGUGGUGUUGUUGGUUGUAAUAUAACAUAAGUAUCUAUUAUGUAAAAGGAUAAAAAAACACAGGUUUAAUACUAAAUAUGCUUCGUAAAGUAUCACAAUGAACAACAUUAGAAUUCAUUUCAUUGAAUGAUCAAAGUUAAAUAUGCCUUUAAACUUUGUGAGAGGAAUUACCGAUAAGAAGCUAAAUUUACAUAGGAAUAUAUAAUCUCGGAAUUCAAGUAUGGAAUUUUUGGCCCAUGAUUUUCUCUUUACUUGUUUUUUCCACAGUUGAACCGAAAAUACACUUGUCCAUAAAUUUUCUUGCAAAUAAAAGUACGUUCUUUUAUUUUAAAAUACUCACAAUUUAUAUGUUCAAACGCCCUAAAUUCCUGAAGUCUUUUGGAAAAACAAUUUUAAAUAUACUAAAAACAGCAUCUUCUAGCGGGAGGAGGGAUCAAUUGAAAAAUCACCAUUACCGCGUUAUAUAAAACUAAAUACUUAAGCAGGAGUAGCUUCCUAGGAAGCUUCAUCGCAACCUUUUUCUUUCCUAUUUAUAUGUCAAAAAAAUCAGUUACCAUCAUCAUAUCUUAUUCUGUCUGAUUCUUUAAGUGUCAGGAUCAUAGUGAUCUUUCCUAGUAUUUUAUAAUAAAUCCAGAAAAAAAAAAAUAGUGUGCACGUACGGCGAUAGUGCUGAUCAAAGGCAAGGAUGAUGGAGGUGGAUCAUGAAGAUAAUGGAUCAGACAUUGAAGCUCAGCGGAGUUCCCCGCAGUUAAUGAAUGGUGAAUUGGGUAAAUCUAGUUUGAUCAUGAGGAAGUCGGCCAUCAUUUUCCAAUCUACUUACAAGUUCAUUGAAGCUGGAGCAAAAAUAGCGUCUCUUUCACGAGUCUCAUCGUCUUCCUCAUCUUCCAGCACAACCUUUUAUACUCCUCUUCCCAGCUUUAAACAUGGAGUAUGUAUAUAUAAUUUAAAAACAUAUAUAUGUAUAUAGUUUAAGUUAUAUUGAUGAUAUUAAUUAUAUAUAUAUGCUCUAUGUCUAAUCAGGAUGCGGAAGGUGGUGGAGGUGAAAUCCAGGUUGUUGAAAUUGUGGCUGAUGAUAAUACUGUACAAUCAAACAAUGAGAUUGAGCUUCAGCCUGAUGAUCAGAGUACUCAUCAGCAAUGCUUAAAAAUUAGUGAAGAGAUUGUGAAGGAGAAAAAGUUGGAUUGGAGUGAUGCUCAUGAUGUUGACAAGGGAAUUCAUGUUGCAGACAAUUCUGGUCGUUACAUGCUGAUCUAUGCCCAGUUCAUGAUCCGACAACUGAUAUGUAAGGAACCAACUAUUUUGCUCCUUGCAAUUGCUGCAAUAUUGUCGUUUAUCUUUGGAAUCAAAGAAGAAGGUGUGCAUAAUGGUUGGUUUGAAGGAGCACUUCUGGUUGUGAUUAUAUUUGUGAUUGUUUCGUUUAAGCUAGCACGUAAUUGGUACAAAAGACACAUUUGGAAUAAGCAAAAUGAGAACAGAGCAAGGAAGGACCAGCCGUUUAUUUCUGAAACGGACUCCAGUUUUUGUGCCGACUUUGACAAGUUGAACAAUUACAUACAUAUUAGUGGGCUGUCCAUUGGCAUUUUGAUCACUGUGGUGCUGUUCAUUCGCUUUAAAUUGGGCUAUAAAGAUGAUGAGAACGGAUAUAGAUUGGAAACCAAGGAAGAACCAACUGAAAUUGCACGGAUAAUGAAUGCCGUGAAGAAGGUUUUGACAGAAUCAAAGGGAGCAGUGAGAGUUAUGAUAACUUCUCUUGGUAUCACACUGGUGGGGAUUACUGAAGGAGUACCAUUUCUUAUUUCAAUUGCAAGGGCAUACUGGUAUCCAAUUUUUGAUGUUAAGAUGGAACCAGUCAACACCAUCUGUAUAGAAAAAAUUAGAUGGUUGAAAGUUACCCAGUUUCUUCUUGACAAAAAAGAUGUUACCAAGAUGUUAGCUGGUGGAAAGAGUUGAAAGUUACCCAGUUUCUUCUUGACAAAAAAGAUGUUACCAAGAUACCGCCACAUGUCUACAGUGUUCUCUCUGAUGGAAUUGGUGUGUCCCCUCUGACUUCUCAAACAGCCUACCACAGAGUAGAAGAAGCAAUACUCUGUUGGGCAGAAAAGAACACGGGUAUGCAGAGAGACACUUUGGAUAAGCAGUUCACCAUAGUGAAGAACAACGAUGAUGAGAUGAAUCCUUUUGAAGGACCUUGUAAAGUAGUCAUAGAGAAAAAUGGAGAUAAUGGGAAAGAGUACUAUUCAUAUUUCAAGGGUCCUACUGAUUCAAUAUUGCCAAUGUGUUCAAGUUACUAUGACUUGACGGGUCAAGUGCAGGAUUUGGAUGACGAAACAAAGAGUGACAUUGUUCAAACUAACAACAACAACAACAUGAACGUAGUUGCAUUUGCCUUCAAACACAGUCAGGACGUUGUUGAACUUGAUGAAAAUGGCCUAACAUUCAUUGGUAUGUUUGUCUUAGAAUAUACUUUCAAUCUAGACAACACGAGGAAAGCAAUUGCGAUUCUGAAAGAAGGCGGAGUGAAGAUGAUAUUUGCCUCAGAAGAAGAUGUUGAAGUGCUUCGUACCAUUGUUGAUGAAACAGGAUUGCUCAACUCACAUGAAGCUCUAGUAGUUAGGGGUGAAGAUGCUACAAAGGAAAAUGUUGAUAAAAUGUGCAUUAUGGGAAAUUCCUCUCCCGCAUGCAUGCUUCUUUUAAUAGAGCAAUUGAAGAAAAGAGGAGAAGUUGUGGCUGUGGUAGGAGAACAAGCAUCUGAAAGUAAUGUGGUUCUUGAAGCAGCUCAUUUUGGCCUGCCUGUGGUGACUAACUGGCCUGAAACUAUAACUUAUGUGAUUAACAGCAUCAAGGGAGGAAGAAUUGUUGUGAGUAUAUGAGGCAGUUCAUCCAAGUUGAGAUAAUCUUUGCAAUCAGUAGCUUAUUAAUAAACUUCAUACUGGUUAUAUUAGACGGAGAUGGUCCGUUAACAGUCAUUCAGUUGGUAUGGGUUAACCUUCUUGUAAAAUUUAUUGGAGGGCCAGCUUUGCUAAUUACUCAGCAGGCCACAAGACAACUAAGGGAUGAGCUUUCUAUCAGACCAAGAAAACUGCCAAUUACCAAGUGCAUGUUGAGAAACAUACUUCUUCAAGUUUCUUAUCAGACUGGUAUUUUUGUAUUCCUUCAACACAGAGGAAGUGCAAUACUGGGGAUCACUCCAAAAGUUAACAGAUCUAUAGUCUUUAACGGGUUCGCUCUGUGCCAGCUUUUUAACAUAUUCAGUGCAAGGGAUUUGGAGCAGAGGAAUUAUUUCAAAGGUCUCGGUCAAAAUUACUUGUUUUGGGCAUUGUCUGGGCUCUAUCUUGUGUUGCAGUUUGGAUUCAUUGAAUUAGAGGCUUUCUUGUUUAGCAACACGGCACGACUGAAUUGGAAGCAAUGGGCUGAAUCCAUUUUAAUUGGAGUUGUUACAUGGUUGCUUGAUGUGAUAGUAAAAUGGGCAUCACAACACAUAAAGAUAGACACAUAUUGUGAUUGUGGAGUUCUUCACCUAGCUAGAAACUGGUUACAGUGUUGGUUUAUGAGGAUCAAUUGCUGUUACUGUGGACCAAGAAGUACACCAAAUCCAACUCUUGCUUCCUUGGAUUCUUCAAGAUACACUAGCGGAAAGGUAUUAUAAAAAUUUGUCCAUACAGCCUAAUUACAGUACAGUUCAAUCAACAGUCUUUCCUAAAAUUUUGGAUUCAAGUUGUAGUUGUUGUUCGUUUGCAGGGCUGGAUAACAAGUAUUACACGUCGUGUUAAACCAACCAAGCAUAGAGCUAAUACUUUGAUGGAUUAAUCAUAUGUUUCAGUAGCUUCAAUUUUUAGUACAUAGUUUCCUCUGUUUUCUAUAGAAGGUUAGAUAUAGUUGGAGCAACACUAAAGUUGUCUCAAUGUGACCGGUAGGUUAUGGGUUAGAGCAGUUAUGAAAUCAGCCUUUGAUGCUUGUAUGAGGGUAGGUUGCCUACAUCACACCCUUCAAGGGUCUCAGGCCUACGUCAAUGAGGGAUGAUUAGUGCACUAGGCUAUCCUUUUUAGUUAAUUUAUGUUAAUUAAUUUCAUCAAGUUUUUCGGUUCUUGUUCUUGUUCCUCUUCACUUUUAACUAAAUUCAAGAAUGUAAACUUAUUAUAUAGUACUACUCCCUCAAUCCCUUUGUAUGUCACAUUUUUAAUUUUUUACUUUGUAUUUGUAUUAAAAAAUGAAGUAACUUUAUCCUUAUUUAAUGUUUUCUUAAAUCAACUCUAUAAUAAAUGAUGAAUACAUUUUCAAGAUUAAUUAACUAUUCCAUCAAGGGUAUAAUAGGAAAAAUAUGAUAAAUUUAUGCAUAAAUUUUAUAAAAUGACAAGUAUUGUGGUCCAGCUAUUUAUAGAAAGGAAUGUCAUAUAAAAAUGGACGGAGGGAGUAAUAUACGUAGAAAGCAAGAAUUUUAUGAAUUUCAAACACAGCGAAGUUUGCUCAAAAUCAUAAAGCAAACUAGUGAGUACACAUUCUACUAAUUAAUUGGCUUGUUCAAGAAGAUAAAUAUUUCCAAUAUCAUAUAGUAUAUGCAAAAAUAUAACUUAAUUACCUCGAUCUUGUUUUUCUCAAACUUGGUGAAAUGUAAUAGACAAAGCUCUUGUUGAGGAGAAACUGACAAGCCGGGAAUGCCAUUGGAAGAGACUUUUCUUCAGCGAAGUCAACUGCCUGUGGUCGUUUCUUUACUAUAUAAAAAAUAAAAAACAAACCUCACAAAUAUCCUAACAUGGAUUUUAUAAGAAUAUUUUUCUUUAAUUUUGGACACAUUUGUCUUUUAUCAAACGUGUCUUCAAUAAAUAUUCAUGUGUGAGUAGGUAAUGUAGAAAUGUUACUUUAUCUAUUUCAAUUUAUGUUACUAAAAACUUUUUAGUUAGUUCUGAAAAUAAUAAUAGUUACUUUUUUUAUAGAUAUUUUGAAAUAAUUUAACUUCUAAAUUUUUUUUUUAAAAAAGAGAGAGAAUAAUUUAUAAUCAUAGAAAUAUGUAUGAUUAACUUUAAAAGUCAUUUGAAAUUCAUUUGUGAGUAGAUAAUCUUGAAAAGGUUACCAUAAGGAAUUUGUUACUCCAUCUAUUACAAUUUAUUAAUGUUACAAUUUUUUUAAGCUAGACCUGAAAAUAAUAAUAGUAUUGAUACAAAAAUUUAAGUUGAAUGAUUUUAUAGAUAUAAAAGCUUAAUUGAGUGGGUUUUUUGAUACAAAAUAAAGUUCAAUGAUUUUGCUAGACAAAUUCUUGAAGUUGAGUGAACUUUUGAGAUAUUAACUCUAGAAAACAUGUGACUACUCGUGUACAUUCAAAAUUAAUGGACAUAAAUAAGAACUAGAGCCAAGUUAAAGGAUACACUUAUAUAUUAUAUCAUUUGAUAAAAGUAAUUUUUAUUUCCGAAGUGAAAAAUAAUAUAUAAUUUUUUUUAUUUUAUUAAUUUAUAAAGUCUUCUCGAAAACAUUUUCUAACAUACCAAAAAGCAGCAUCUUCUAUAACAAAUUUUUUGUGUGUGUGUGGUGAUGGUGAGAUCAAUUUAAAAAUUGUCAAUAUUAACGCGUUAUAAAAAUUAAAGAGUGUAAGGGAAAAUUUGAAUUUGAACAAGAUGGGUGUUCACAUUCCGCAACACAAAGCUGAGGCCGGGAGUGAAUAACUAACCACUUGAGCAUUGGAGUACUGCAUGUCUAUUUGAACGGGUCACGAUUUAAUUCAUUUUCAAUUUCAGUAGUGCUGAUCAAAGCUAGGAUGAUGGAUGAAGAUAAUGGAUCAGACAUUGAAGCUCAGGGGAGUUCCCCGCUGCUAAUGAAUGGUAAUUCUACGUUGAUCAUGAGGAGGUUGGCUCUCAUUCUCCGAUCUACUUACAACUUCCAUUGAAGCUGGAGCAAGAAUACCAUCUCUUUCACGAGUCUCAUCGUCUACCUUAUCCUCCACCACAACCUUUUAUACUCCUCUUCCCUAAGUAUAUAAACAAAUGUCUUUAUCACUACUAUAUAUAUACACACACGUAGUUGUUAAUUAUACAUGCUCUCCGUCUAAUUAGGAUGCAGAAGGUGGUGAAGAUGAAAUCCAGGUUGUUGAAAUUGUGGCUGAUGAUAAUACUGUACAAUCAAACAAUGAUCACGUCGACAUUGAUCAAAGUACUCAUCAGCAAUGCCUACAAAUUAGUGAUUGUUUUGUUUAAGUUUGCACGAAAUAGGUACAAAAGACACCUUUGGAAGAAGCAAAAAGAUAACAAAGAAACGAAGAAUUACCCCCUGUUGAUUUCUGAAACGGACUCCAGCUUUUGUGCCUGUUUUGACAAGUUGAACAAUUAUAUACAUAUUAGUGGGUUGUUGAUUGGCAUUUUGAUCACUGUGGUGCUGUUCAUUCGCUUUAAAAUUGAGCCAUAAAGAUGACGAAAAUGGAUAUAGAUUAGAAACCAAGGAAGAACCAGCUGAAAUUGCACAGAAUAAUGAAUGCCGUGAAAAAGGUUUUAACAGAAUCAAAGGGAACAGUAAGAGUUUUGAUAACUUUACUUGGUGUCACACUGGUAGGGAUGACUGAAGGGGUACCAUUUCUUAUUUCAAUUACAAUGGCAUAUUGGUAUCCGAAUUUUGAUGUUAAAAUGGAAUCAGUCAGCACCCUCUGUAUAGAAAAUGUUGGCUGGUUGAAAGAGCAAAAACUGGAAGUUAGUCAGUUUUUCCUUGACAAAAUAAAUGUUACCAAGAUACCGCCAGAUGUCUGCAGUGUUCUCUCUGAUGGAAUUUGUGUGUCCACUCUGACUUCUCAAACAACUGACCAAAGAAUGGAAGAACCAAUACUCUGUUGGGCAGAGAAGAACAUGGGUAUGCAGAGAGACACUUUAGAUCAGCAGUUCAUAAUAGUGAAGGACAAUGAUAGUGAGAUGAAUCCUUUUGAAGGACCUUGUGGAGUUGUCAUAGAGAAAAAUGGAGAUAACGGGAAGGAGUACUAUUCACACUUCAAAGGACGGGCUGAUUCAAUAUUGUCAAUGUGUUCAAGUUACUAUGACAUGAAGGGAGAAGUGCAGGAUUUGGAUGAUGGAACAAAGAGUGACAUUGCUCAAACUAACAACAAGAACAAGAACGUAGUUGCAUUUGCCUUCAAACACACUCAGGACGUUGGUGAACUUGAUGAAAAUGGCCUAACAUUCAUUGGUAUGUUUGUCUUAGAAGAUAAUUUCAAUCUAGACAACAUGAGGCAAGGAAUUGAGAUUCUGAAAGAAGGUGGAGUGAAGAUGAUAUUUGCCUCGGAAGAAGAUGUUGAAGUGCUUCGUGCCAUUGGUGAUGAAACAGGAUUGCUCAACUCACAUAAUGCUCUAGUAGUUAAGCAUGAAGAUGCUACGAAGGAAAAUGUUGAGAAAAUUUGCAUUACGGGAAAUUCCUCUCCCGCACACAAGCUUCUUUUAAUAGAGCAGUUGAAGAAAAGAGGAGAAGUGGUGGCUGUGGUAGGAGAACAAGCAUUUGGAAGUAAUGUGGUUCUUGAAGCAGCUAAUUUUGGCCUGCCUGUGGUGACUAACUGGCCUGAAACUAUAACUUGUGUGAUUAACAGCAUCAAGGGAGGAAGAAUUGUUUGUGAGUAUAUGAGGCAGUUCAUUCAAGUUGAGAUAAUCUUUGCAAUCAGUAGCAUAUUAAUAAACUUCAUACUGGUUAUACUAGACGGAGAUGGCCCGUUAACAGUCAUUCAGUUGGUAUGGGUUAACCUUCUUGUAAAAUUUAUUGGAGGGCCAGCUUUGCUAAUUACUCAUCAGGCCAUAAGACAACUAAGGGAUGAGCUUUCUAUCAGACCAAGAAAACUACCAAUUACCAAGGGCAUGUUGAGAAACAUAAUUUUUCAAGCUUCUUAUCAGACUGUUAUUUUUGUAUGCCUUCCACACAGAGGAAGUGCAAUACUGGGAAUCACUGCGAAAGUUAACAUAUCUACUGUCUUUAACGGGUUUGCUCUGUGCCAGCUUUUUAACAUAUUCAGUGCAAGAGAUUUGGAGCAGAAGAAUUUUUUCAAAGGUCUUGGUUAAAAUUACUUGUUUUGGGCAUUGUCUUUGCUCUAUCUUGUGUUGCAGUUUGGAUUCAUUGAAUUAGAGGCUUUCUUGUUUAGCAACACGGCACGAUUGAAUUGGAAGCAAUGGGCUGAAUCCAUUUUAAUUGGAGCUGUUACAUGGUUGCUUGAUGUGAUAGUAAAAUGGGCAUCACAAUACAUAAAGAUAGACACAUAUUGUGAUUGUGGAGUUCUUCACCUAGCUAGAAACUGGUUCCAGUAUUGGUUUAUGAGGAUCAAUUGCUGUUACUGUGGACCAAGAAGUACACCAAAUCCAACUCUUGCUUCCUUGGAUUCUUCAAGAUCCACUAGCGGAAACGUAUUAUAAAAAUUUGUCCAUACAGCCUAAUUAUAGUACAGUUCAAACAAAAGUUUUUCCUAAAAUUUUGGAUUCAAGUUGUAGCUGUUGUUCUUUUGCAGGGCUGGCUAACAAAUAUCACACGUCGUGUUAAACCAACCAAGCAUAGAGCUAAUACUUUGAUGGAUUAAUCAUAUGUUUCAGUAGCUUCAAUUUUGAGUACAUAUUUUCCACUGUUUUCUAUUAGAUACACUUGGACCAACAAUAAAGUUGUUUCCACGCGACUGGUAGGUUAUGAGUUAGAGAUGUACUGGAAUCAGCCUCUGAUGCUUGUAUCAGGUAGGAUGCCUACAUCAUACCCUUCAAAGGCAUUGACCCUUCCCGGACCUACGUCAAUGAGGGAUGAUUAGUGCAGUAGGCUGUCCUUUUUAGUUAAUUUAUGUGAAUUAAUUUCAUCAAGUUUUUUGGUUCUUGUUCUUGUUCUUCUUUUUACUUUUAAUUUAAAUUCAAGAAUGCAAACUUAUUACUAUAUAGUACUAAUAUACAUAGAAAGCAAGAGUUUCAUGAAUUUCUAACACACAGAAGUUUGCUCAAAAUCAUAAAGCAAACUAGUGAGUACACAUUCUACUAAUUGGCUCGUACAAGAAGAUAAAUAUUUCCAAUAUCAUAAUUCAUAUAUAUGCAAAAAUAUAACUUAAUUACCUCGAUCUUAUUUUUCUCAAACUUGGUGUAAUGUAAUAGACAAAGCUCUUGUUGAGGAGAAAUUGACAAACCAGCAAUGCCAUUGGAAGAGAGUUUUCUUCAGCAAAGUCAACUGCCAGUGGUCGUUUCUUUACUAUAUAAAAAUAUAAAACAAAAUAUAUGGUCCUCACAAAUAUACCAACAUGGAUUUUAUAAGAAUAUUUUUCUUUAAUUUUGGACACAUUUGUCUUUUAUCAAA
rnacentral:lncRNA from 1 species